rnacentral:rRNA from 1 species
AUACGGAGGAUGCGAGCGUUAUCCGGAUUUAUUGGGUUUAAAGGGUGCGUAGGCUGUUCGUCAAGUCAGUGGUGAAAUGCCGGGGCUCAACCCCGGAGCUGCCAUUGAUACUGUCGGGCUUGAAUCUUGCUGCCGUGGGAGGAAUGAGUAGUGUAGCGGUGAAAUGCAUAGAUAUUACUCAGAACACCGAUUGCGAAGGCAUCUCACGAAACAGGCAUUGACGCUGAGGCACGAAAGCGUGGGGAUCAAACAGGAUUAGAUACCCUGGUAGUCCACGCAGUAAACGAUGAUGACUAACCGCUGGCGAUACAUUGUCAGUGGCCAAGCGAAAGCGAUAAGUCAUCCACCUGGGGAGUACGACCGCAAGGUUGAAACUCAAAUGAAUUGACGGGG